GCAUCGGAGUACUCCUACGGGAACAAGAAAGAUGGAAGACCUCAUACGACAUGCUAAGAUCAUUAUUAAAGACUCUUGAGCAAAGAUCAAGCAGAUUGUGGCAAGCUGUCAUGCAUGCCAGCUAACCAACGCCACCACCCAUGGGUCUAACCCCAGAACCCAACUCAGGGGAGACUGCCGAGGAACAUACUGGGAAGUAGAUUUCACUGAGGUAAGGCCUGGAAAGUAUGGGUACAAGUACUUGCUAGUUUUCGUAGAUACCUUUUCAGGGUGGACAGAGGCAUUCCCCACCAAGCACAAAACAGUGCAAACCGUGAUCAAAAAGCUGCUGGAGGACAUUCUGCCAAGGUAUGGAUUUCCUGCCAGGAUCGGAUCUGACAGUGGACCGGGGUUCAUUCCUAAGAGCCCAUGAGCGGGUGUGGCCUAAGCUGAGGGCCCUCUACGAGACCGGGCCGCCUCCUGACCCCCAUCAGAAUUGACCAGGCGAUUGGGUGUACGUGCGGAGGCACCAACAGCAGACGCUCCAACCUUGCUGGAAAAGACCCUAUAUUGUGAUCCUGACCACGCCCACCACUCUCAAGGUCAACGGAAUAACUCCCUGGGUCCACUACACCCACGUCCGGCCAGCUGAUCCACACGCUGUCCUCAAGGACUUUGUUCCAGAAUGGAAGAGUCAGCCCGACAAGGACAAUCCCUUAAAGCUAAGGCUGCGUCGCUCCCACUUACCCCGCUAAUAUUACUUGCGCUGUA